CAGCCGCCACGGGAAUACGUAGGGUGCAAGCGUUAAUCGGAAUUACUGGGCGUAAAGCGUGCGCAGGCGGUUAUAUAAGUCAGAUGUGAAAUCCCCGGGCUCAACCUGGGAACUGCAUUUGAGACUGUAUGGCUAGAGUGUGUCAGAGGGGGGUAGAAUUUCACGUGUAGCAGUGAAAUGCGUAGAUAUGCGGAGGAACACCGAUGGCGAAGGCAAUCCCCCUGGACCUGUACUGACGCUCAUGCACGAAAGCGUGGGGAGCAAACAGGAUUAGAUACCCCAGUAGUCCCUGUCUCUUAUA
rnacentral:rRNA from 1 species